UUUUNUUAUNAAAANUUUUUUAUACUUAAGUAGUAAGAGUAAUAGUAUUAAUAUUUAUAAACUUGAAACUUAAAAAGCUUGGCGGUAUCACAUAUCCUUCCAGGGGAGCUUGUUUAUUAAUUUGAUAUUCCUCAAUUUAUAUUUACUUUUUUUUGAAUAUAAGAAAAAUAUCAGUUUGUGUAUUGCUGUCGUCAGUUUAUUUUGUAAAAAUUGUUGAUAAAAAACUUCUUAAUAAUUAAAUUAUGAUGUCAAGUCAAAAUGCAGCUUAUAAAAAAGGUUUAAAAAGUGAGCUACAAUUUAUUAUAUUUAAUCCAAUUAGAUCAUGUAAUUGGUUUAUGAAGUUGGACUUGGUAGUAAUAAAAUUUAAAUUAGUA
rnacentral:rRNA from 1 species